rnacentral:rRNA from 1 species
ACGGGUGAGUAACGCGUGGGAAUCUACCCUUGACUACGGAAUAACGCAGGGAAACUUGUGCUAAUACCGUAUGUGUCCUUCGGGAGAAAGAUUUAUCGGUCAAGGAUGAGCCCGCGUUGGAUUAGCUAGUUGGUGGGGUAAAGGCCUACCAAGGCGACGAUCCAUAGCUGGUCUGAGAGGAUGAUCAGCCACAUUGGGACUGAGACACGGCCCAAACUCCUACGGGAGGCAGCAGUGGGGAAUAUUGGACAAUGGGCGCAAGCCUGAUCCAGCCAUGCCGCGUGAGUGAUGAAGGCCCUAGGGUUGUAAAGCUCUUUCACCGGAGAAGAUAAUGACGGUAUCCGGAGAAGAAGCCCCGGCUAACUUCGUGCCAGCAGCCGCGGUAAUACGUAGGGGGCUAGCGUUGUUCGGAAUUACUGGGCGUAAAGCGCACGUAGGCGGAUCGAUCAGUCAGGGGUGAAAUCCCAGGGCUCAACCCUGGAACUGCCUUUGAUACUGUCGAUCUGGAGUAUGGAAGAGGUGAGUGGAAUUCCGAGUGUAGAGGUGAAAUUCGUAGA